rnacentral:rRNA from 1 species
AACUUAAGCAUAUCAAUAAGCGGAGGAAAAGAAACCAACAGGGAUUGCCUCAGUAACGGCGAGUGAAGCGGCAAUAGCUCAAAUUUGAAAUCUGGAGCCUUCGGCUUCCGAGUUGUAAUUUGAAGAGGAUGUUUCGGUUGCGGCCACGGCCCAAGUUCCUUGGAACAGGACGUCAUGGAGGGUGAGAAUCCCGUACCUGGCUGUUGGCUUGCUUCCAUGUGAAACUCCUUCGAAGAGUCGAGUUGUUUGGGAAUGCAGCUCAAAAUGGGUGGUAAAUUUCAUCUAAAGCUAAAUAUUGGCGGGAGACCGAUAGCGCACAAGUAGAGUGAUCGAAAGAUGAAAAGCACUUUGAAAAGAGAGUUAAACAGUACGUGAAAUUGUUGAAAGGGAAGCGCUUGCAAUCAGACUCGCUUUCGGUUGAUCAACGUUCCUUCUGGUUCGUGCACUCUGCCGUUGGCGGGCCAGCAUCAGCUGGGGCGGUGGGACAAAGACUUCAGGAAUGUGGCUCUCUUCGGGGAGUGUUAUAGCCUGUUGUGCAAUGCCACCAGUCCCGGCUGAGGUCCGCGGUUUAUCCUAGGAUGCUGGCUUAAUGGUUGUAAGCGACCCGUCUUGAAACACGGACCAAGGAGUCUAACAUCUAUGCGAGUCUUUGGGUGUCAAACCCAUGGGCGUAAUGAAAGUGAACGGAGGUGGGAGUCUUCGGAUGCACCAUCGACCGAUCCUGAUGUUCUCGGAUGGAUUUGAGUAGGAGCAUAGCUGUUGGGACCCGAAAGAUGGUGAACUAUGCCUGAAUAGGGUGAAGCCAGAGGAAACUCUGGUGGAGGCUCGCAGCGGUUCUGACGUGCAAAUCGAUCGUCAAAUUUGGGUAUAGGGGCGAAAGACUAUC